rnacentral:miRNA from 1 species
GGGGAAAGGUUAUAGCGAUUAUG